CAGAAUGCUCAAAACUAAUGUAAGGAAAAUUUAUGAACAGGCAGAGUAGCUACAUAAAUAUAGUCAACAGGGCCAAGGAAUUAGGGAUACCCUGACCUCCUGGCUCCCUAACUUAACAUGGGUACUACCCCUAGUAGGUCCCCUAAUAACUUUGUUGCUCUUAUUACUUUUAGAACCUUGUUUAAUUUACUUGUUAAAUUUGUAUCUUCUAGACUUAAGCAGUUCCAUGUCAAAUUGAUGAUUCUCCAGGGUUUCCAACCAAUCCCUGAGAGUGAUGUUGAAGCUGACCAACACACAGCAUCCAUGAUGGCCUCAGGAAUCCCUCUUCAACCACUAGAUA